GGGCCGUUAGCUCAGCCAGGUAGAGCGGCGGGCUUCGGACCCGCAGGUCGGGGGUUCGAAUCCCCCACGGCCCG
rnacentral:tRNA from 1 species